CUAGUUUGGAACUGCCGGGGGGUGGCGAACCAUUGGAUAGUUCAUGAGUUGUUGGCUCUCUCAAAAGCCAAUUCCAUGGGGCUUGUGUUCUUAUGCGAGACUAGACAAGCCUCAACCAAGAUGGAAAAGCUAAAGUGGAUACUUGGUACGGAGGGGUUUGCCGGCGUCGGCAGUGACAGGCGUAGUGGUCAACUAGCUCUUUUUUGGGAUGAAAAUCUGCGAGUUACAGUGUUGGAUUCUUGUGCAUAG
rnacentral:rRNA from 1 species